GUGCUUGCUUCGGCAGCACAUAUUCUAAAAUUGGAACGAUACAGAGAAGAUUGGCAUGGCUCCUGUGCAAGGAUGACACCCAAAUUCAUGAAGCAUUCCAUGUUUUU
rnacentral:snRNA from 1 species